rnacentral:rRNA from 1 species
UACGUAGGGUGCAAGCGUUAAUCGGAAUUACUGGGCGUAAAGCGUGCGCAGGCGGUUUUGUAAGUCUGUUGUGAAAUCCCCGGGCUCAACCUGGGAAUGGCAAUGGAGACUGCAAGGCUAGAGUUUGGCAGAGGGGGUAGAAUUCCACGUGUAGCAGUGAAAUGCGUAGAUAUGUGGAGGAACACCGAUGGCGAAGGCAGCCCCCUGGGUCAAAACUGACGCUCAUGCACGAAAGCGUGGGGAGCAAACAGG